AGUUCUCUUAACAUAGUCAAAUGUAUCUCCUCUUGUUAGCCAAUUAUGAUUCCUUCCCUCAUCUGUGAACAUCCAAAGGUACACAUUCAACCUCUUACUGCAGAGAUCUCAUUGCACCUCCAGGAGUCUCCUGGGAAAUAUCACCUAUUGUUCAUGUGGCCAUAUCUAGUUCAUGAGCAAAUGCACAAUCUGGGUUGGCUGUGAUAGCCAUGGAGGUGUUCUACUCAGAUUUCCCUUAAAAGAAACUGCUGUGACUAGCAUAGCUGAGCUGCUGCAACUUUGUAUUCAUUGAGGAAUUUAUCCCAGGCCAUGCUCUCCUGGGCUACUCCUGCACAAAGACUGAGCAUGGCCAGGUUACUAGAAAAGAACCAGUACUACCUGAUGCAGAAUUUGUCUAAUGGGCAACCUCAGCUCAAGGGCUCUCCAUCGGCCUCGCUGAGGCUUUCUCAGAACUAAGCAGCAACCUCAGGCUCUUCCUACUAAAUUCUUCCUUCUCUCUCUCCUUUCACAGGUAUUAGACAUGGGGGAAGGCUCUUGUUCUCUGUUCCUUUGUCCUUCAUAGGUGGUUUUCCAUAAAUAUCUUGCACAUUUGAGCCCAUCUUGGCAUCUGCUUCUUGGAAGACCUUAAUGCCAUAGUUACUUCCCAACAGUAAUUCUACUUAUCCUUUAGAAUUCACAGGCUCUACUGAAUUCUUUUAGAAUUCAAUCCAUUAUGGACUCAUUCUCCUUACCAAACUCUACAAAUAAUCUUCUGUCUUAAGAGCACCCAGGAUGUGUUUUCAUUGGAAUUAGCUAGCCCUGGGAAAGACAGUCCCUCCAGAGUUAGCAACACCCCAAGAUGUCAAAGAUAAAAAUGCAAAAAUUAAAACUCCAUGAUUAACACAACUUUGAAGUCCUUCUCACUUGUCUUUAGAUGAAGGGCAACAUCAUUGCAACAAGUCACACUUUGAGAACUCAAGAGAAUAUGUUUGUUCUGAAAAUCCAGGAAUUAUUGCCAACCCAUGGUUGUCUCCAUAUGUCUUGGGAAAAAUAGGAAAAGGAUUUUUUGAGUUGGUGAUUUGAAUCCAAGACACAAAGAUUCAGGCUCUGGUAAAAAGAUUGUAUAGGCUAUAUUGGCUGACAUAAAAGAGACAUAAAAGGCACACAAUGAAAUCUUAAUAAAUGUAUUGGAUGUUGCAGCAUUAACUGAUGAGCCAGACAAUGUAAAGACCUCAGACUACCAAAUGUUUUGAAAGACGAAUAGUGAAUGUGAAACUGUGAACCAAAAUAGAUUUUUAGAAUCCUUGAAAAAAUAGAGCUAGAGAAAGUCUUUGAGACCAUUGAUUGCAAAUAUUUGAGUUUACAACUGAGCAAAUGGAGAAAAGAGAAGUGACUCGUCAGUCCAACAAGUGGCAGAAUCAGAACCAGACCCCAAUGCUUGGGUCUUCUGUCCCUCCUGGCACCAAAGUCACCUAUCAUAAGUAACUUGAGUUUCAGAGGGGAAGGAAAAGACUACAAUGUCCCAGCACUGUUCCAGACACUUUUUAGGGGACUCCAAGACACCUUGUGUAAUGCCUAUUUUAAGUAGCUGGAAGAUUCUAUAGCAUGGGAAAAGCCCACUGAAGGCAAAAGUAAACAUUACCUAUUGUGGUCCUGGAAAAGAAAAUCAUCUCUCAUUUAUCUCCUGGAGCUGUUUGACGAACUUGGUGCUGUCUCAGUGGAAUAGUCAACCAAUGUAUCCUACAUUUUGGACCAGCAGAAGGAAGUAAUGAGAACAGAAAACAAAUAAGAAGUGAGUUGGAGGGAGAAGGAGACUUUAGCAUCUUCCUGAAAUCAGGAAGAAAGUUUCAAGAAUAAAGUAAUCCAUAGGGUCAAAUACUGCAGUAAGUUUAAUUAGGAUGAAGACUGCAAAGAUGGUAUUAGUUUGGUACUUAGGACAUUGGUGACCUCCACAGGUGACUUUCAGGAGAAUUAUCUGGGGAACUUGUUGAUAGAAUUUGUGAAUCUCCACCUUUAGGGAUUCUGAUUUAGAAGGAGUAGGAAGAAGGCCUUAGGAUCUCCAUUUAUAACAACCACUACUGAUUAUUUUGAGGCAGGUAGCAUACAGACCACAUUUGAAAGAAACACUAGGUAAGUGUGAUUUUCAUUCAAAGGACAAAAAACAUAAAGUUACCUAAUUCAGGGACCAUUUCAAAGACCAAAUCAAAUCAGUAGCCUGGCUGAUCUGAUCGACUGCGCAGAAACUAGCCAUUACCAUGGCAAAGUGGGGAGGAACAGUCAAUAAAAA
rnacentral:lncRNA from 10 species